AUGGGGCCCGGCUGCAGCGGCGUUUGGGGACCGACCCCCCCCCGGCCGGCGGCUCCCGAGGGGGAAUCGCUCGGGGCCGCCCCCGGUUCGCCUCCAGCCCGGCCGGACCCCGCCGGGCACCGGGGGCGAGCCCCGCAGCCCAGCCCCGCUCCCUGCCCCGCUCCCAGCCCCGCUCCCGGUCCCGCUCCCGUCCCCGAGGCGCCCCGGGCAUCUCCAGCAGCCGGCCCCGACCCCGGCCCCGCUCCCGGUGCCCCCCCGGUCCCUCCCGGUGCCCCCGCCCCGAGCCGCUCACCGCGGGCGGCGGGAUCCCGACCAGGCAGAAGGCGAUGCCAUUCAUCGGGGCGCGGCUCGGCCCGGCACGGCUCGGCCCGGCACGGCCCAGCGAGUCCCGGUGCGGCUCGGUACGGCCCCGCACCGCGCGGUCCCGCUCGGCUCGGCUCGGCUCGGGCUGCGCCGGCCCCGGCCCCGGCUCCGCCUCCUCCGGGCGCCAGCGGGAGCGGGCGGGGCGCGGCACGGCUCGGAACGGCUCGGAACGGCACGGGGGGCAGCACCGGGACCGCGACGGGCACAGAUGGGGACCGAGGGGGGCUGCGGGGGGCAGGGGUCAGCCCGGGAGCGGGACCGGGGACAGCCGGGACAGAGGGACAAGGGACAGCCAGGACACGGGGACCGGGACACGGGGACCGGGAGCACCCGGGACAGAGGGACGAGGGACAGCCACAGCCAGGACAGAGGGACCGGGGACACCCGGGACACGGGGACCGGGGCCCGGAGCAGGACGGUGCAGCGGUAGCGGGCGGCAGGACAGCAGGACAGGGACAGCCGGACGGCAGCAGCAGGGAGAGGCCAAGGCCGGGCGAUGCAGAGGGACAGACGGACAGGAAACGCCAGGACAGAGGGACAGGACUGCCAGGGGCUGGCACGGGUCGGCACAGGGACGGAAACACCGGGCUGGGGCUGACGGAGAGCCAACGGCUGACACGGGUCGUGGGGAGAGGAAACGGCCAGGACGGAAGCAGCAGGACAGAUGGACACGGCCUUGCCCAGCGGACAGAGGGACAGGGGACAGCCGGGCAGGGCCUGGCUCAGUUCCGACUGCUCGGAGCACACCAAAGCAUCCUGAAAUCAUCCCAAAACAGCCACCGGGCACAUCCACCCCGCACCUCAGCCUCGGGGUGCCCACGGCUCCACCGAGGCUUCGAGCCCACCAAGGGCUUGGCCAAGGCACGCAGGAGGGACCCGGGUCUGGCCCUGCCACCUCCCCAAAGCUGCCUCCCCCCCAGGGGCAUCAAUCAGCCUUUGAAUAACCUCGUGGGGGAAGUUUCAGUUACCCUCCCCGCAGAGGAGGGAAGCCGAGCAGCUUUGCCAGCUCCUGCACCCUCGCCCUGGGGUGCCGCAGGGCGACGGCGGAGGGGAAACGGAGCCACACGUGACGGGAAAGCGGGAGGAGGCGCAGGAAGCCGGGGAGGAAUGACGGCCACAGCCCGUGGGGACGCACGGACGCCGGGUGGGGAGGACGGGCAGAGCCACGGGGCUGGGGCUGGGCUCCAGCUGGGGGCAGCGGGGCUGAGCCCAGGGGCCUGGCACGGAGGUUUCGGUCUCCCGGUCUUACCAGCAGCAGCAGCACCCCGAGGUGGGGCCCCUCAGCUGCUGGUGGGUGCCACCGUCCCCAGCCCAGCGGGGACAUCGCUCAGUGCCAGCCCCAAGCACUCCCCAGCCCCCCCCCGAGCUGCUUUCCCUGCCCACCCCCCCCCGGAGGUGCCAACCUGCACGCGCCUGGCGUGA
ensembl:lncRNA